ACUUGGGGCUGUAAAGACCCUGCCUGUGUCACACUCAGAGACUACAGAGCAGAGUUACAGCCAAGCCUGGAAGCAAGAUAGGAAAGAAGAGAAUGGAAGAAAAUUCACUCAUUUAAACGUCCAUCUGCUUAAUAAGCAGUAUUGACCCUAUGACAUGCCAGGCCCAGGGGAUGAUGUUAGCAUAAAAUGGUGAACAAGAAAGCCCAUCAAUUAGCAAAUGGAUAAAGAAGAUGUGCUAUAUGUACAAUGGAAUAUUAUUUAUCCAAAAAGAAGAACAAAAACUUAACAUCUACACAUGGAAGGAUCUGGAGAGUAUUAUGCUAAGUGAAAUCAGUCCAAGGAAGACAAAUACCAUAUGAUUUCAUUCAUAUAUGGAGUUUAAGAAACAAACAGGCCCCUGUCUAAAAAUCCGUGUUCUUUCAUCUAUGCUUGGCUUCAAUCAAUGAGAAAACACUCUAUUCACUAACUGAGAGGAAGGUUCAAGCCACCUCUGAAUCUGACGUACAAAUAGCAAAACGAAAACCUCUGUAACCUUGUCACAGACUGAUCAAGGCUAUAUUCUGCUCCUGGCAAGGAGGUAAAACAGGUAGUUCAACUGUAACUGUGAAAGAGAAAGUGAGAGUAAAAAAAAAAAAAAAAAGGGUUGACAGCACCAAACUGUACAGCACUUGAACUGGCAUGGAGAUGGCCUCUGUGGAUCUUUUCUUUUGCAACAAAUUAAGGUGCAGCCGAGAAGUCUGACGUCUGUUCCUAGUGUGAACUGUGGCUGCCACAAGUAUUGGAAGACUGCGAUAGAUGCUCUUUGUAUCUCCUUUCCACCUCACAUUCAACCAAGACUUGGUUCCAGAAGGACCACGUCAUUCCUAAUUGUGAUAUUCAUGCUGUCCGCAUGGGAGCCACUCAGAUGAAAGGUAAUUGUGCAAAGCAUCACAGGCUGGUUGAAACUCAGGCCCCUGAAUUUUUCACUGAGAAAUAGACAUCGCUACUUUUGCUUUAAAAAAUAAUUCCCAGAAUAUGAUAUUGAAAGGUUUUGUUUUUUAUAAUACCUAGUAAAUUCUACUAAGUUUCACCAACUUCUUUUCCUUGAUUACACUUCAAAGUACUGUCUAUAUACUUAGUACUUUCAAAUUUGCAUUUAUAAAUUAAUUUUCAAGUUCCCCUUUAAAAUUACCUUUUAAGCUCAAUUGAAAAUAUUCGUGUAAUUCACUGAAAUACACAUACACACAUAUUUCAAUACUGGUUGUAAUUACAAGACUUCAGCCUUUCAGAUAUUUAUGGUUU